rnacentral:rRNA from 1 species
CGGCAAACGGGUGCGGAACACGUACACAACCUUCCUACAAGUGGGGAAUAGCCCAGAGAAAUUUGGAUUAAUACCCCGUAACAUAUAAAGAUGGCAUCAUUUUUAUAUUAUAGCUACGGCGCUUGUUGAUGGGUGUGCGGCUGAUUAGGUAGUUGGCGGGGUAAUGGCCCACCAAGCCUGCGAUCAGUAGCUGAUGUGAGAGCAUGAUCAGCCACACGGGCACUGAGACACGGGCCCGACUCCUACGGGAGGCAGCAGUAAGGAAUAUUGGACAAUGGGCGCAAGCCUGAUCCAGCCAUGCCGCGUGAAGGAUUAAGGUCCUCUGGAUUGUAAACUUCUUUUAUAAGGGACGAAAAAAGGGAAUUCUUUCUCACCUGACGGUACCUUAUGAAUAAGCACCGGCUAACUCCGUGCCAGCAGCCGCGGUAAUACGGAGGGUGCAAGCGUUAUCCGGAUUCACUGGGGUUUAAAGGGUGCGUAGGCGGGUAUUUAAGUCAGUGGUGAAAUCCUAGAGCUUAACUCUAGAACUGCCAUUGAUACUAUUUAUCUUGAAUAUUGUGGAGGUAAGCGGAAUAUGUCAUGUANCGGUGAAAUGCUUANAUAUGACAUAGAACACCCUAUUGUGAAGGCGGCUUACUACGCAUAUAUUGACGCUGNNGGCACNAAAGCGUGGGGGUCAAACAGGAUUAGAUACCCUGG